AGUGAACGCUGGCGGCAGGCCUAACACAUGCAAGUCGAGCGGCAGCAGAGAGCUUGCUCCUUGAUUCGGCGGCGGACGGGUGAGCAGUGCCUAGGAAUAUGCCUAGUAGUGGGUGCGAACGUCCGGAAACAGGCGCUAAUACCGCAUACGCCCUUAGGACGAAAGUGGGGGAUCUUCGGACCUCAGGAUAUCGGAUGAGCCGAGGUCGGAUUAGCUAGUUGGCGGGGUAAAGGCCUACCAAGGCGACGAUCCGUAGCUGGUCUGAGAGGAUGAUCAGUCACACUGGAACUGAGACACGGUCCAGACUCCUACGGGAGGCAGCAGUGGGGAAUAUUGGACAAUGGGCGAAAGCCUGAUCCAGCCAUGCCGCGUGUGUGAAGAAGGUCUUCGGAUUGUAAAGCACUUUAAGUUGGGAGGAAGGGCAGUAAGUUAAUACCUUGCUGUUUUGACGGUACCAACAGAAUAAGCACCGGCUAACUUCGUG
rnacentral:rRNA from 1 species